UCAUGUAAUUAUUUUGCCAUACUAGAAAACGUCAAAAGUCAGUACCAAACAGCCAAAAAAAAUAAAAAAAGCGUCAAAGUGACGUUGAUUUCCAAACCCUCACUCUGACCCUCACCCAGUGUCACCAACGUGAAUUUUGGUAACACUUCACUAUUUCACUAUUUCACUUCAGUGUCAAAAAUCAAGAACAAGAACAAUCACCGUUCUCAGUUCUUCUUUCUCUGCAAUUGCAAUUUCCAAUCUUCCAACAAUGGUGAAAGCCGAAGAAUCUCAACCUCAUCAUCAUCAUCACGUUCGCAUCAAAAUCAAUGGCCCUACUCCUAUUAACAAGAACAAGAAGAAGAAGAAGAAUGUGCAGCAACCUUGUCACUACCUGUGUGGUUUCUGCAACAAAAGUUUCGCUUCUGUUUAUGCUUUGAACGGACACACCAGAAUGCACUCAUCAUCGCACUCCGACAACAACAACAACAACAACAACAACGUUGUCAAAACCUACGACGGCACAAACACAUUCCCUUCCGACAAGUCUUUGUUUUCUCACACGACCGUGACGAGGGAAAUUACGCCGUGUCGGAACAUUUGGAGUGGCUGCCGCUUCAACAUUGCGGCGGCGUACGGUGGUGAUGACACGUUCUGCCAUUCUUCUUCUGCGUCUGAACACUCUGAUGAUUACUUAUCUGAUGGCUCUGUUUUCCGAUCAUGGCCUCUGUCUUGCAAAAGAAGCCGCAAACCAAGAUUGUCCCCUCGCCUCCGCCGCCGCCGUGGAAGUUCUUGUUCGGAAGUUGAAGUCGACCCUCUUAUGCAAGAAGCUGCGUAUACUCUCAUGUUGUUGGCAAAUGGGGUUCUUCAUUCUUCAACACCAGGAGGAGAAAAUUUCUCCAAUUUAUGGCAUUCCAGGAGUGCUUUAUAACUUAACACAUUGGCCCCACAAGCUGGAGUGCUUUAUAAAGAAAAGGUCCUUCGGCGUGAGUAUCUACAAGGAGCCCGUCUUUUUGAUAUUAGCAAACAAGCAGGUGAGGGUAUCUAUUCUCUCCAUGUGCUUUAUGACCUUAUAGCUUGCCCUAAAAUGAGUGUGUAUGAGACACAAUUGGAAUGUAUAUUGAAAUAGAAAUGAGAGUCCCCUGAAACGGGGGAUUUCUCUGAUGAUUUUCUCUUUUCAAUUUUCUUUUGGCUUUUGUAGAGUAGUGUGGUUUCAGGUCACUCUGUUGUAUCAGCUUUUGCUUGGUUCAUGAACUCAGGUGCUGCUGUCUUCGCAUUUUGGCUGGGUAUUUGGAAAUUAGUUCAUGAUACUGAGUCACAACUAAUGACUAAGUAGUCAUUGACUUUUGAUGCUACUUGGAUCACAAUAAGGUGACAACUAACAACUAGGUGACAACUUUUAGGAAUUGUAAGAUGUGUUUCUCCGGUGACAAUCACUUUUUCUGAUUAAAAUUAAGUAAUUGUUAAGUGGUCACUAGAAUACUAGAAUAAUCCUCUAGGAAAGUGCCAAACUCUAUUUACUCUCAUUAUCCUCUAUUCUCAGUUCUCAUUCUGGUUUACAUUUUAUGAUUUUAUAACUUCGAAUGUCACUCCAUUAUUUCACUGAUCAAUCGUCAGCUUCAAGGUAUUGUCCUAUGAUCAAAUUUUCUGUCCUUGUUUUAUCAAUUUUGAUGAUGUGGCUGCAUGAGUAUCUUCUCUUUGAGAUACAUAUGGUCAGCUAUUUCUUAGUCUGAAACUGCAUAUCCCAAUUCAAGGUAUGUGUCGUUUGAGAAUUGUGUCUCAGUAAUUUAAUUUAUAAGAAUGUAUGAAGCCUUUAGAUAUUUCAUUCCUAAAGAAGAUACAGCAAUGACAACAGAAUGUUACUAAAAAGUUCAAAAUAUGGAGAGGUGUUUACCUUUUUAUCUUAAUUCUGGGUGCUCUUUCUCUUCUCCUUUAUGGUGCUGCCUUUGAUGUAUACUGUCAGAACUCAGAAGGAUCUUUGUGGAUGUUGAUUGGAUACAAAAUGUGUGGCACUACAAGACUUUGCCACAGCACACCUUAAGGACAAGGCAUGGUUUUGGUUCCAGAGGGUUCUGGCAGUGGCUAAUCUGGUUUGUUAUUCCGUCAAUCUGUGAGUUCUUGGUACCAAGGUUCCUUCCAAGAGCUUUCAAGAGAGGUAUCAGAUUUAUGCUAAGGAAGCCCCUCACCUAUGGUGAAGCCAGAUUAAGGGAUUUGAUUUGGCAUUUAAUAUAGUUUUGCUAUUGCAAACAGUUUAGAGCUUUUUUCCCCUUGCAAAAAAGUUGUGAUGAAUGUGUAUUUUAUAGCAGUUUUGGACAUAUACUGUUCUGUUAGUGAAACUUUUCUAUAUUGGUUAUCACA